rnacentral:rRNA from 1 species
AGUUGACCUCGGAUCAGGUAGGGAUACCCGCUGAACUUGAA